rnacentral:lncRNA from 1 species
GACCUUCCUGAGCAAGAUCACGUCCUUCAUUACGAGCUUUUACACAUGCUUCUAGAGCUACUUGAUUUGCUACGGCACCUGGCGCAUUACCCCAAGGAUGUCCUAAAGUUCCUCCACCGAACUGUAGUACGGAAUCAUCCCCAAAGAUCUCGGUCAGAGCAGGCAUAUAAUUUGGGGACCUCUUUAUGCCCGAGGUAGGUCUAGCGACAAAUUGAUUUGGAGAAAUUAGGAUGCUAAAUGCCUCAUUUUAUUGAUAAAAAGUAGACGAACCCUAAAUCGACGCUAAACAACCGAAAAUAAAAUGUCACUAGCGGCCAUUGGCCUUAUUACAUUUCAUAAAGCAAAAAAGAAAAUUUAUAUCUAUUUGGUCCCAGAAGGACCUUCCCCAGACUCAGCAUAUUUGGCUCCGUCGAACAGCUUUCCCAAUUAUCGACCUUCCUGAGCAAGAUCACGUCCUUCAUUACGAGCUUUUACACAUGCUUCUAGAGCUACUUGAUUUGCUACGGCACCUGGCGCAUUACCCCAAGGAUGUCCUAAAGUUCCUCCACCGAACUGUAGUA